rnacentral:rRNA from 1 species
UGGGGAAUAUUGGACAAUGGGCGCAAGCCUGAUCCAGCCAUGCCGCGUGUGUGAAGAAGGCCCUAGGGUUGUAAAGCACUUUCAGUGGGGAGAAAGGUUAUUCACCUAAUACGUGAGUAAAUUGAUGCUACCCACAGAAGAAGCACCGGCUAACUCCGUGCCAGCAGCCGCGGUAAUACGGAGGGUGCAAGCGUUAAUCGGAAUUACUGGGCGUAAAGCGCACGUAGGUGGUUUGUUAAGCUAGCUGUGAAAUCCCCGGGCUCAACCUGGGCACUGCAGUUAGAACUGGCAAGCUAGAGUAGGGUAGAGGGGUGUGGAAUUCCAGGUGUAGCGGUGAAAUGCGUAGAUAUCUGGAGGAACAUCAGUGGCGAAGGCGACACCCUGGACUCAUACUGACACUGAGGUGCGAAAGCGUGGGGAGCAAACAGG